CGGGGCGUAGCGCAGCCUGGUAGCGCACUAGCAUGGGGUGCUAGUGGUCGGAGGUUCGAAUCCUCUCGCCCCGACCA
rnacentral:tRNA from 8 species